rnacentral:tRNA from 1 species
GCGCCUGUGGUGAAAUUGGUAGACACGCCAGACUUAGGAUCUGGUGCCGCGAGGCUUGUAGGUUCGAGUCCUAUCAGGCGCA